rnacentral:lncRNA from 1 species
CCUAGACAAACUUAGGCUUUCCAGCUUGCACUGGACCAGGGUGGAAAGGAAGGGUAGAUGUCUACCCAAAUGGAAUAUUGAGUAUCAGAGACUUCAAAUGAUAACUUUUGUUUGUUUGGAGAAAAUCUUGAGGACGUGAUCACUGUACAAAAGCAUGGCAAAAUGAGGAAACCACUGACAGGUGAAGAAUUUGCACAAUGGAAAACCACCUUGACCAUCUCAUGACUUUAUACAGGAAUCGGAGACAUCCAAGGCCAUUCCAUUUCUAGAUCACACUUAUCCCUCAAUCAAGUCAGUGACUGGAUCAUCUCCUAAGGUUUCACCUGCUUUGCAUCAGGUAGGUGAGAUGAAAGUGAUUUUAUGGGUAGCUUUCAGAAAAAUGUACUGCACUGAAGUGACAAAGUUCUGUCUUGCCUGUUCUCUCACAAAACAGCAAAUCAAUUAAAUAAUGAUGUUUUCUUUACAAUACAGUUUCAUAAGACUUUCCAUUUGUUUCAGAGUGCCUUAACUUUUUUAAAAAAGACACUGUUAACAAAUACAAUUAUUUCUCUUAAAAUCCACUCAGCCAGCAUUUUUCACUAUCCUAUAAAGGCUUUAAAUGUCACAGAAUGUAUGAUAAUUUGCUCCUAACCUACUUUUGAAAAAGGAAAGAUUCCAAACAUUCUUGAAAAAAUGGUAAUUCAGCAAACACAAAAACCAAUUAUUUAAAAUAAUCCCCAAGCAAAAAAACCUCAGUGCAAGAAUACUGCUUACACUUUGCAGUACACGAAAUAUCACAAACAAUGCUUUUAUCAAUGU